CUUUUUCAUUUAAUCACCCACUGCUGCUUAGCGGUUUAACUCUUUCUUGGGAAUAGCCCUGCCUCACCAAAGGUGGGGACGGGGCUGAACUUCUGUAUUCCCCUCACUGCUCACAAGAGUGCUGAGCUCAAAGAAGAGCUCUGUAACAGAAAUACAAGCCAUUCACUGAGCUCUUCUGUGUGCCAGACAGGGGGCGGUAAGCACUUUGCAUGUAUUAUGUUAUUUAAGCCACAUAGCAGCCCUGUGCUAUAGGUGCCACUAUGAUUCUCAUUUUAUAAGUAUGGCAACUGGUAUUUUAAUUCACCGAGUGAUUUUCCCAGACCCACAGAGCCAGGAAAUGGUGCGGUGUGAUGCUGCCCAGGUUGCCUGACCAUGCACACAGCUGGUGAGCCCAUCUCCUUGAAUUCAGUGGGCCAGAGCAGAUGGACUCCUGUGUCUUUGCCGCGGGGACCCCGGCUCCUCUGAGGCUGAGGCUGGGCAGUCUUUUGUGACACGUGGCUUGGUAAGAACAUUCUUCAAGAUUAGCCUCUGCAGGAUCCCAUGACUGAAAGAUCCCUGUGUACCUGUGCAGCUAAUUGCAGUACUGGGGCCACCUCUGGGUGCCUGCACCUGUUUGUUCCUGAGCCCCGUGACAGCCUGUCUGUCUCCAAGAGGAGUCUGCAUUUCAUUUUCAUUUCAGCUCCCAGAGUCCCAGAUGGAACAUUCAGAACAGAAGACGUGGCCUUCCUCUGAUUCACAGCCAGUGAAGGGAGAAGGGAGGCAGGAAGGACGUGGAAUUCCGCUCAUGGGGCCCUCUGCACUUCAAAUAUUUUAGAGGAAGAGAACUGCAGAUGUGCCCCCUGCCAAAGAAGCUUUGAGGGCCAGCGUCAAAUGGCCUGGAGUGAGCAAGAGCUGGCAGGGUGACAACCCAGGAAGAAUAAAGGACAGAGCUCCAGGCCCCUUCUCUUUCCGAAACUCCCGCUGAGAGAGCUGGCUCAGUGGGCCUGGGGGGCUCAGGGCAGCUGCAGCGACUGAAUUGGUGCUCUGUCGUCACCUGCUCAGUGCCCUGAAGUGGAGAGCACACAGCCUCCAGCCAGCCCCCCUCCUAAUCGUGGAUUUCCAUACUCGAGAAGCAGCCCCACAAAGGGGUCUCAAGGCGCCAGGACUGGAAAAGCCUUUCAUCUGGCACCUAAUUUGAGCACCUGCCUUCAGACAGGUGCAGAUUAGUGGGGAUUAGUCCACAUUUCACAGGUGAAGCCACUGAGGUCCACAGAAGCCAAGGGACUGGCUCAUUGUUGAGCUCAAGGUCACAUAUUUCAGAAACCACUAACUGGGCAUCACUGAACACCUAACACUGGGUGAGUGCUGCAGUACCAAUCUGCUAGUUACCAACCAUCCUCUAAAAUAGCAUGAUUUUUCUUUCUGAAAAGUAGUCCAUUCUCUACAUUCUCAUUUUGUACCAAGUAAAAGGACCAGAGAAAGAACAAAAAGGAAGGAAAAUAAAAACGAUCUGUUAUCUCCCACCUGGAGAGAAUCCAGAAUCAACACUUUGGUUUAUGAUGCGAUCUUCAUGCAUAUACAUUUUACAUAAUUAUGUUCAUUUUUGUAGCUUACUUUUCUCACUUAGCACUACAAGCCAUUUCUUCUCGUCAUUAAGGGGUGGUUGUAAAUAUGCGUUUGCAUUUAACUACCUACAUUUUUUUGUAUAUCAUGCCACAUUUUUCUUAAGUAUUUCCUCAGCUGAUCAAUUUCAAUUUUAUGCUGUUGUAAGUAACUGGGAUUAACCUUUUGGGAGUGAAACUUCUCAUGUAUUUUUGUAAACUUCCAUAAUACAGAUUUCCUAGAAGUGGAAUUACUGGGGCAACUGAGGUAAAUGUUUCAAAAAGUUUGUGGUAAAUGUUUCCCAAUUGCUCUUUGGAGGAAUGGAAUCCUUUCACAAACAUACCAAGAGUCCUUGCUCUUCUGCUCCCUCUCUGGUUUAGCUGUUAUCUUUAAAGAUUUUUUUUUAAAAAUACCUAAUAAAAUGAUCAAAGUCAU
rnacentral:lncRNA from 1 species